rnacentral:rRNA from 1 species
UACGGGGGGAGCAAGCGUUGUUCGGAUUUACUGGGCGUAAAGGGCGCGUAGGCGGUCGUGACAAGUCACUUGUGAAAUCUCCGGGCUUAACUCGGAACGGUCAAGUGAUACUGUCGGACUAGAGUACAGAAGGGGCAACUGGAAUUCUCGGUGUAGCGGUGAAAUGCGUAGAGAUCGGGAGGAACACCUGUGGCGAAGGCGGCCAACUGGGCCGACCCUGACGCUGAGGCGCGAAGGCGUGGGGAGCGAACGGG